rnacentral:rRNA from 1 species
GACGGGGGGAUGCAAGUGUUAUCCGGAAUCACUGGGCGUAAAGCGUCUGCAGGUGGUUUCCUAAGUCCACUGUUAAACCUUGAGGCUCAACCUCAAAAUCUGCAUUGGAAACUAGGAGACUUGAGUAUAGUAGGGGGUAGAGGGAAUUUUCCAGUGGAGCGGUGAAAAUGCGUAGAUAUUGGAAAAGAACACCGAUGGCGAAGGCAUCUACUGGGGCUAUUUACUGACACUCAGAGACGAAAGCUAGGGGGGAGAAAAUGGGG